rnacentral:rRNA from 1 species
GGCUGGGUGCAGGACCCUCAUAUUCAAGAGCUGCUUCUCAAGCAGACGGAUAACGCAAGAGCUGCCGCCCGAGAGAAAGCCAAGAUGGAUCAAUUUGAGUUAGACGCGGUUACUCCAUUGUAUGAAGGAUGCAGGCCCGAGGAUACCCGCCUGAAAGUAACGCUCAUGGCUCUGGAGAUGAAGGUAAAACACAAAAUGACCGACGCAUGCUUCGACGAGAACAUGUCAUUCUGGCACGAACGUCUUCCCAAGGGGAACAAGUGCCCGACCAGUUUCGAGGAGGCGAAGAAAAUCGUGUGUCCUCUGGAUUUACCGCACGUGAAAUACCAUGUGUGCAUGAACAAUUGCAUCAUUUAUCGGGACGAGCACGCGGAGUCUACCAUAUGUCCGGUGUGCGGUGUCACUCGAUACAAGAAGAGGAAGAAAGCUCCUCGAAAAGUGGUGUGGUACUUUCCGCUCACUCCUCGUCUGCAGCGGUAUUUCGCGGAUCCUAAGGUAGCAAAGCUCCUGCGUUGGCACGCGGAUAGGGAGGAGAAGAAGCGAGAAGAUGACGCAAAUGAUCCGGAGAUAGAUAAAAAAGACAAGAUGCUGAGUCACCCUAAGGAUGCGAGCCAGUGGCAAGCGUUGAACUUCGAAUACCCAGAAUUUGGGAACGAUCCAAGGAACAUCGUGCUGGGCGCGAGCACCGAUGGAGUCAAUCCGUUUGGCAGCCAGAGAAGCACACAUAGCACCUGGCCUGUGUUUGUGUGGAUGUACAACCUUCCCCCCUGGUUGUGCAUGAAGAGGAAGUACAUUCACAUGAGUAUGAUAAUUGAAGGGCCGAAACAACCAGGGAACGACAUCAAUCUGUAUCUGGGGCUGCUGAAAGAGGAGCUUGACACGCUGUGGAAAAUGCCAGCCAAUACGUGGGACGCCGCAGAGAAAGAAUAUUUCCCUAUGAGAGCCGCACUGCUCACGACGGUGCACGACUAUCUCGGUUACGGAUAUCUUGCGGGGCAGGUAGUCCACGGAUUUUCUGGAUGCGUAAGGUGCAUGGAUGACACAACGUAUCGCCAGCUAGAUAGAGAUCCCGGGUCUUCGAAAACCGUGUUCAUGGGACAUCGAAGGUGGCUUCGCGAUGAUGACCCGUGGAGGAAAUGCAAGGAUCUGUUCGAUGGUGAAAGCGAACCCCGAAGACGCCCGUGUACGAGGAGCGGCGAGGAAAUAGACAAGCUGUUGAAAAAUUGGAAAGACUGCCCACUGCCGGGAAAGAAGCAAAAGGCGCCAGAGCCGGGAAAGAAGCGAAAGGCGCCAGAGCCGCUGCUGAAGGUAUGGAAAACGAGGUCUGUUUUCUGGGACUUGCCGUACUGGAAGAUCCACCGUGUGCCUCACAGCCUUGAUGUCAUGCAUAUCACGAAGAACGUGUGCGAGAGUCUUCUUGGUACCCUGCUCAACAUGCCAGAGAGGACCAAAGAUGGGCCGAAAGCAAGGGCAGACUUGAAAUCAAUGGGCAUCAGGCAGGAGCUUCACGCUAUAUAUGAUGAUGAUGAUGAUGAUGAUGAUGAUGAUGAUGAUGAUGAUGAUGAGGCGAAGCAGGACACAGAAAGUCGUCGCAAAGGCAAAAAGGCCAAGAAGACCGGAAAUGACUACCCUCCCGCGUGCUUCACUCUAAGUCAGGAGGAGAUCGAGCAGUUUUUCACCUGCCUCCUAGGAGUAAAACUUCCUUACGGUUACGCGGGGAAGAUAAGCAGAUACCUAGACCCAGCGAAGCAGAAGUUCAGUGGGAUGAAGUCUCACGACUGUCACGUGCUG